rnacentral:rRNA from 1 species
GAUGAACGCUGGCGGCGUGCCUAAUACAUGCAAGUCGAGCGAACAGAUAAGGAGCUUGCUCCUUUGACGUUAGCGGCGGACGGGUGAGUAACACGUGGGUAACCUACCUAUAAGACUGGAAUAACUCCGGGAAACCGGGGCUAAUGCAGGAUAACAUGUUGAACCGCAUGGUUCUACAGUGAAAGGCGGCUUUGCUGUCACUUAUAGAUGGACCCGCGCCGUAUUAGCUAGUUGGUGAGGUAACGGCUCACCAAGGCAACGAUACGUAGCCGACCUGAGAGGGUGAUCGGCCACACUGGAACUGAGACACGGUCCAGACUCCUACGGGAGGCAGCAGUAGGGAAUCUGCCGCAAUGGGCGAAAGCCUGACGGAGCAACGCCGCGGGAGUGAUGAAGGUCUUCGGAUCGUAAAACUCUGUUAUUAGGGAAGAACAAAUGCGUAAGUAACUGUGCGCGUCUGGACGGUACCUAAUCAGAAAGCCACGGCUAACUACGU